CAUCUGGGCUGAUUCCAGCAUUUGGCAUUAGAAAUGAGGCUGUUACGAACAUUCAUGUACAGCACUUGGGAUGGCAUCUAAGUCAACUGUAGUCAAUGGAGAACAAAAGCAAAUUAAAAGACCAAACGGACCCUGUGAGCAUGGGGCUGCCAGUGAAAGGAGGAUGCCUGGGAAUGAAAUCAAUAGAAGAGAUGCAGAAAGCCUACGGAAAAACAGCGUGCUGAUACUAUUUGACACAGCAAUGAUUAUUUCUUACCUUUGGCACCUUCCUGCAUUUUUAUUCUGUUCAGCCUCUUCUGCUGCUCUCUUAGCAGGGCUUGCUGCUGAAUCUCUAAGGUGUGAUGAUCUCUUGGAGGAUCCAGGUACAUAAAUUUCAGAUCAACUCGUGUUUCUGAAUCUGGUAUAAAAAAUAUGUUAUAUAACUAAGUUAAAUGUUGUUUUCAAAUGGGAUUUUGUAAAACUUCACUGUAAGUAACAUGAGUAACCUAAUUUCAAAAUCAAGGAAAUGAUAGAAAUAGUGAAACAUCACUAAAGUCAAAGGACAGUAAAAUAGCCACAAAACUAAAGAAUAUGAAAUUAAUAUUCUUUAAUAAGUGUCUUUUCACAAACUUACCAACAUAAGGAAUACCCCAGAACAAGCAGUGGAUGUUGCAUUGUCCAUCUCUACCUGUCCUAGCCCUGCCAGGAUGCCACCCAGAACACAGACUACGUGCAGGUAUAUCCAAGCAGAUGGUCACAUGGCUAUGACUAAGGCAGCCAUGAGACACUGUAAUCACGGCUGAUCUCUAAAAUAUACUGGAAACGUGAAAAAAUAAUGUUACUGGCCAAUUAAUAUUUUAGUCCUUACAAAUAUCAUGCAGAAAGCAAGAUAAAUGUAGACUGGCUGGAACUUGAGGGGGAAUGCCAUUUCUUUUUUUUUUUUUUUCUUGAGACGGAGUCUUGCUCUGUCGCCCAGGCUGGAGUGCAGUGGCACGGUCUUGGCUCACUGCCAGCUCUGCCUCCUGGGUUCAUGCCAUUCUCCUGCCUCAGUCUCCCAAGUAGCUGGGACUACAAGCACCCACCACUAUGCCCGGCUAAUUUUUCUUGUAGUUUUUAGUAGAGACGAGGUUUCACUAUGUUGGCCAGGCUGGUCUUGAACUCCUGACCUCGUGAUCCACACGCCUCGGCCUCUCAAAGUGCUGGGAUUACAGGCAUUAGCCACUGUGCCUGGCCAAGAAUAAAAAUUUUUUAAUCUUGAGAAGAAACAUACAGUUCAUACAUAUAAAAAGCCUUGAAAAUAUUAUUCCCUUUGACUCACUAAUUACACUGCUGGAAUAUAAAGAAAUGAUCCUAAAUAUAUAUGUAGUUUUAUGGUCCUAAAUAUGUAUAAAGCUUUAUGAUCAGAAAUUAUCAAAAGAACAAAAUAGUGAAAAUGGUUAACAGCCAUUUUCAGAAGUUAACAGAAGUUUCUGGACACAUAAACUUGGAUUGGUCCCUGGCUUCACUGCUUCCAAACUCAUUAAAAAAACAAUACCAACCACCAAGUCAUGGGUGAAUGAGGGCAAGAUGUAGUAACACAGGGAAAUGAACAGCCCAAUUCUAUGGCUUAAACCUUUUUGGUCUCAAGAUCUUUUUUACACUCUUAAAAAUUGAGGACCCCAAAGAGCUUUACUUAUGUAUGUCACACACACACACGCCAUAUUAGAAAUUAAAACUAAGAGAUUCCUAAAACACAAGAAUACACAAGGACACAUUUUGCUAGCUUCAAAGAGAUGAAAUCAUUACAUGUCAUGUAGUCUCUGGCCAAUCUAUAUACACAUGAGAGAAUGAGAAUGAAAAAGACAAAUAAUGUCUUAGUUUAUAAUACAAACAGUUUUGACUUCAGACCAAACUCCUCAUGAGACCCACUGGGUUAACACAAUGCCUGGCAGAUAGUAAGUAAUCAAUAUUUGAUAGCAUAAAAAAUAACAGUAUACGUAAUUGAUAAUACGUGUAAAUCUAGGUGAAAAACAAUAGAGAAAAUUAAAUAAAUAACACAAUUUAUCUUUUUUUUUCUUUUAAUUAUGCUCAGAAAGACUAGAAAACAUCCAAAA
rnacentral:lncRNA from 10 species